rnacentral:lncRNA from 10 species
CUCCCUCCCGCUGCUCCGCUCUGGCUCGGUCUGGGCUCCGCUUCCUCCCGGGGCUGAAAGGGUCUCCAGCCAGCUCCAGCCGGGCCCGGCGGAGGGCGAUGCCUACCGCCCCACCCCUCCCUACUCCCUCCAGCACGCACCAGCGCGCGGGUCCCGGAGGCUGUUCCCAGAGAUGCCAGCCUCUUAGUUAAGUGCGGACCGCACAACCAGGGGCAGAACUGGGACUUCUGUUGUGUCUAUUUUUGAGACGGAGUCUUGCUCUGUCGCCCAGGCUGGAGUGCAGUGGCGCGAUCUCGGCUCACCGCAACCUCUGCCUCCCGGGUUCAAGCGAUUCUCUUGCCUCGGCCUCCCGAGUAGCUGGGACGUCAGGAGCGCGCCACCACGCCCGGCUAAUUUUUGUAUUUUUUAGUAGAGAUGGGGUUUCGCCUUGUUGGCCAGGCUGAUCUCGAACUCCUGGCCUCGUGAUCCACCCGUCUCGGCCUCCCAAGGUGCUGGGAUGACAGGCGUGAGCCACCGCGCCCGGCCAGAACUGGGACUUUUGACAUGGAAUCCCCCCGGCGCCUCCAUGCCACCUUCCAUAGGAAGGAGCUUUUUAACUUUCCUAAGUACUUCAACAGUCACAUUCCAUUUGGCCCUCGCAACACACUCUGUGAGGUAGGGAGGACAGUUAUUACUGUUUAUAUUUUACAAGUGAUAACCAACAACCGCCAGAGAGGCUUGUCCGCCUGGCGGAAUGGAGACUUAGAAACUGGUGCCAGCCUUCUUUCUGCCCAGGAGCACUGCCUCCUGACAGCCCUCUCACGGCUUUUUAAAAAACAAAACUGGCCGGGUGCAGUGGCUCACGCCUGUAAUCCCAGCACUUUGGGAGGCUGAGGCAGCUGGAUCACGAGGUCAGGAGAUCGAGACCAUCCUGGCUAACACGGUGAAACCCCGUCUCUACUAAAAACACAAAAAAUUACCUGGCCGUGGUGGGGGGCGC